rnacentral:rRNA from 1 species
GAUGAACGCUGGCGGCGUGCCUAAUACAUGCAAGUCGAGCGAACAGACGAGGAGCUUGCUCCUCUGACGUUAGCGGCGGACGGGUGAGUAACACGUGGAUAACCUACCUAUAAGACUGGGAUAACUUCGGGAAACCGGAGCUAAUACCGGAUAAUAUAUUGAACCGCAUGGUUCAAUAGUGAAAGACGGUUUUGCUGUCACUUAUAGAUGGAUCCGCGCCGCAUUAGCUAGUUGUUAAGGUAACGGCUUACCAAGGCGACGAUGCGUAGCCGACCUGAGAGGGUAAUCGGCCAAACGGGAACUGGAACACGGUCCAGACUCCUACGGGAGGCAGCAGUAGGAGAUCUUCCGCAAUGGGCGAAAGCCUGCCGGAGCAACGCGCCGUGAGUGAUGAAGGUCUUCGUAUCGUAAAACUCUGUUAUUAGGGAAGAACAAAUGUGUAAGUAACUAUGCAAGUCUUGACGGUACCUAAUCAGAAAGCCACGGCUAACUACGUG